AUUAGCUCAGUCGGUAGAGCAUCUGACUUUUAAUCAGAGGGUCGAAGGUUCGAAUCCUUCAUG
rnacentral:tRNA from 2 species